UACGUAGGGUGCGAGCGUUGUCCGGAAUUAUUGGGCGUAAAGAGCUUGUAGGCGGUUUGUCGCGUCUGCUGUGAAAACUCGAGGCUCAACCUCGGGCUUGCAGUGGGUACGGGCAGACUAGAGUGCGGUAGGGGUGACUGGAAUUCCUGGUGUAGCGGUGGAAUGCGCAGAUAUCAGGAGGAACACCGAUGGCGAAGGCAGGUCACUGGGCCGCAACUGACGCUGAGGAGCGAAAGCAUGGGGAGCGAACAGG
rnacentral:rRNA from 1 species